rnacentral:rRNA from 1 species
UACGAAGGGUGCAAACGUUGCUUGGAAUUAUUGGGCGUAAAGCGCACGUAGGCGGCUUUGCAAGUCGGAUGUGAAAUCCCUCGGCUUAACCAAGGAAGUGCAUCCGAAACUGCAGAGCUUGAGUACUUAAGAGGAUCGCGGAAUUCCCGGUGUAGAGGUGAAAUUCGUAGAUAUCGGGAGGAACACCAGUGGCGAAGGCGGCGAUCUGGGAAGAUACUGACGCUGAGGUGCGAAAGCGUGGGGAGCAAACAGG